AUGACCCGCCGCCGCACGCAUCCACCCCCUACCCCGCUGCCGCGCGCCACCACCCCCUGUCCCGCCGCCGCGUGCGCGCAGGAUUCGACUAGCCGGAGCAGCUGCGAGCCGGAUCCAGCCUCGUCCCCCGAGCUCCAUCUUCUUCCCCGCCUCCCUUCCGCGAACCGGACGCCUCCUUCUGGGUUCUCCGGCACCGCUGUGUCUAGCGGUCCAACCUCGUCGCCCGAGGCCGUUCACCGUUGCAGCGCCUCCUUCCGUCCGUGCAACGGGCUCCCGUGCACGGCCCUUGCUGAAGCUGGAAUUUUGGAAGAGUACUUUCAACCUGGAAGAGCACUUUCAACCGUCCAGGAAGACAACAACGACAGCCAGUAUGAUGGAUGUGAGAGUUAUUUUGACAUUUCAUUGUACAGUGCUUCUCUUUGUGUAGUGUUGUGUGUUUUCAAGUGCUUGAUGAAAAUUGAUGUUCCAGGUAGUUCAUGUAUUACUGAGGAGUUCAUGUACUGCCUAGUAAGUAAACCUGUUCAACUAUGUAAGCCACACAAGUUCAAAAGGAUUCACAUCAGUACAAACUCGAGAGGGCAUGUAUUACCGUCCAGAGUACAAACUUCAGUUUACCAAGAAGUUCAUGUAUUACAAUUUAGAGUUCUUGUAUUACUAUCCAUAAAGUAUAACUAUUGGUAUAGAAACUGUUCAAUAUUUGUUCGAAAGCUACCUGCAAAAGAGAAGCCCUUCUUACAUCCAUUUAGAGCUCACACCACAUGCACCGUCCUCAGUCCAACCCCAUGGCGUUAG
rnacentral:rRNA from 1 species